rnacentral:rRNA from 1 species
AUUGAACGCUGGCGGCAGGCCUAACACAUGCAAGUCGAGCGGAUGAAGGGAGCUUGCUCCUGGAUUCAGCGGCGGACGGGUGAGUAAUGCCUAGGAAUCUGCCUGGUAGUGGGGGAUAACGUCCGGAAACGGGCGCUAAUACCGCAUACGUCCUGAGGGAGAAAGUGGGGGAUCUUCGGACCUCACGCUAUCAGAUGAGCCUAGGUCGGAUAAGCUAGUUGGUGGGGUAAGGGCCUACCAAGGCGACGAUCCGUAACUGGUCUGAGAGGAUGAUCAGUCACACUGGAACUGAGACACGGUCCAGACUCCUACGGGAGGCAGCAGUGGGGAAUAUUGGACAAUGGGCGAAAGCCUGAUCCAGCCAUGCCGCGUGUGUGAAGAAGGUCUUCGGAUUGUAAAGCACUUUAAGUUGGGAGGAAGGGCAGUAAGUUAAUACCUUGCUGUUUUGACGUUACCAACAGAAUAAGCACCGGCUAACUUCGUG